ACGCUCGACACCUACGGAAGGCAGCAGUAGGGAAUCUUCCACAAUGGACGCAAGUCUGAUGGAGCAACGCCGCGUGAGUGAAGAAGGUCUUCGGAUCGUAAAACUCUGUUGUUAGAGAAGAACACGAGUGAGAGUAACUGUUCAUUCGAUGACGGUAUCUAACCAGCAAGUCACGGCUAACUACGUACCAGCAGCCGCGGUAAUCUGAGCGGGCUGGCAAGGC
rnacentral:rRNA from 1 species